rnacentral:rRNA from 1 species
UACGGGGGGGGCAAGCGUUGUUCGGAAUUACUGGGCGUAAAGGGCUCGUAGGCGGCCAACUAAGUCAUACGUGAAAUCCCUCGGCUUAACCGGGGAACUGCGUCUGAUACUGGAUGGCUUGAGUUCGGGAGAGGGAUGCGGAAUUCCAGGUGUAGCGGUGAAAUUCGUAGAUAUCGAGAGGAACACCGGCGGCGAAGGCGGCCCACUGGACAGAUACUGACGCUGAGAACUCGAAAGCGUGGGGAGCAAACAGG